rnacentral:rRNA from 1 species
UGCCGCGUGCAGGAUGAAGGCCUUCGGGUUGUAAACUGCUUUUGUACGGAACGAAACGGCCUUUUCUAAUAAAGAGGGCUAAUGACGGUACCGUAAGAAUAACCACCGGCUAACUACGUGCCAGCAGCCGCGGUAAUACUUAUGGUGCAAGCGUUAAUCGGAAUUACUGGGCGUAAAGCGUGCGCAGGCGGUUAUGUAAGACAGUUGUGAAAUCCCCGGGCUCAACCUGGGAACUGCAUCUGUGACUGCAUAGCUAGAGUACGGUAGAGGGGGAUGGAAUUCCGCGUGUAGCAUUGAAAUGCGUACAUCUGCGGAGGAACACCGAUGGCGAAGGCAAUCCCCUGGACCUGUACUGACGCUCAUGCACGAAAGCGUGGGGAGCAAACAGGAUUAGAUACCCUGGUAGUCCACGCCCUAAACGAUGUCAACUGGUUGUUGGGUCUUCACUGACUCUUAACGAAGCUAACGCGUGAAGUUGACCGCCUGGGGAGUACGGCCGCAAGGUUGAAACUCCAGGAAUUGACGGGGACCCGCACAAGCGGUGGAUGAUGUGGUUUAAUUCGAUGCAACGCGCAAAACCUUACCCACCUUUGACAUGUACGGAAUUCGCCAGAUAUGG